rnacentral:rRNA from 1 species
UACAGCAGCUAUAUCACCCUGCAGCUCUCAACUGGCUACCUAAGCAGGGUUUAGCCUGGUCAGUACCUGGAUGGGAGACCUCCUGGGAAGCUAUGGCUGCUGCUGGAA